AUGGGCGUGUCUGUGUAGAUAAGCGGGUGCCACCUGCAUUCAAUUUGUUCACAACGGCGGUGACACAGUUCUGCCCCAAAUUGAACAAGAAACUAAUAUUAGCGUUCUUUAUUAAAAAUACGAAACGGAAAGCCGAGAGUGAUGGAACGCUGGAGGGGCAGAGUUGCUCUCGUCACCGGAGCCUCGGUUGGAAUCGGAGCGGCCAUUGCUAAAGAGUUGGUCAGUUUCGGUAUGAUAGUGGUGGGCUGUGCGAGGGACCUGGACAAGUUAAAGUCCGUGGCAGCAGAGUGUCUCAGUGAAGGCCACAGUGGCGUUUUGGUACCGUUCAAGUGCGACCUGACUAGUGAAGAGGAUAUCGCUUCCAUGUUCUCGGCUAUCAAGGCCCAGCAUAAGGGCGUGGACGUGUGCAUCAACAACGCAGGCGUAGCUCAUCCUGAACCCCUGCUGAGUGGCAGAACAAGCGGCUGGAAGAACAUGUUGGACCUGAACGUCCUCGCCUUGUCUAUAUGUUCACGAGAGGCUUAUCAGUCCAUGAAAGACAGAAAUGUUGACGACGGACAUAUUAUCAACAUAAACAGCAUGGCCGGUCAUCGCAUGGUCAGCAACCCCGAUGUGCACUUCUACAGUGCCACCAAGUUUGCGGUGACGGCGCUGACGGAGGCUCUGAGGCGGGAGCUGCGAGAGGCCAACUCCCACAUCCGUACCUCUUGCAUUUCCCCUGGCCUGGUGGAGACUGAAUUUACUCUUCGUCUCUACAGUGGCGACGCUGAAAAAGUUGACAAAACUUUCAGCAAAUACAAGCCGCUGGACGCUAAAGAUGUUGCUAAUGCUGUCACCUACGUCCUUAGUGCCCCACCACACGUGCAGGUUGGUGAUGUUCAGAUGAGACCCGUGGAGCAGUCUUUGUAGAAGCAGUUCUAAAACGAACUAGGCUUUUUUCCACUUUCCUGUAACAGAAUGGAACGCUCCAUCAUUCCUCCAAUAAGGUUCAAGUGGGCAACAAACUAAGAUGCGAUAUAUAUAGAGCAAAGGUUGGAAAAAGGUAUUUAGUGUGGAUUGAUCCCCAAUUUUUUAAAAUAUACAUAGGUUUUUGUUAGUUUUAUAAAUUAAGAUGAUCUUUUUUUAGAAUGCUGCACAAUUGUCUCCACCUUUUGAAUGAUAUUGAUAUAAAACAUAUGUAUUUCUUAAUAUGGAUGCCAAAUAAAGUCAGCUAACAAUGAA